UACGGAGGGUGCAAGCGUUAUCCGGAUUCACUGGGUUUAAAGGGUGCGUAGGUGGGCAGGUAAGUCAGUGGUGAAAUCUCCGGGCUUAACCCGGAAACUGCCAUUGAUACUAUCAGUCUUGAAUACCGUGGAGGUAAGCGGAAUAUGUCAUGUAGCGGUGAAAUGCUUAGAUAUGACAUAGAACACCAAUUGCGAAGGCAGCUUACUACCCGAUACUGACGCUGAGGUGCGAAAGCGUGGGGAGCAAACAGG
rnacentral:rRNA from 1 species